rnacentral:rRNA from 1 species
UCCAGACUCCUACGGGAGGCAGCAGUGAGGAAUAUUGGUCAAUGGUCGCAGGGCUGAACCAGCCAAGUCGCGUGAGGGAUGACGGUCCUAUGGAUUGUAAACCUCUUUUGUCAGGGAGCAAAGGGCGCCACGUGUGGCGCUUCGCGAGUACCUGAAGAAAAAGCAUCGGCUAACUCCGUGCCAGCAGCCGCGGUAAUACGGAGGAUGCGAGCGUUAUCCGGAUUUAUUGGGUUUAAAGGGUGCGCAGGCGGAAUGUCAAGUCAGCGGUAAAAUUUCGGGGCUCAACCCCGUCGUGCCGUUGAAACUGGUUUUCUUGAGUGAGCGAGAAGUAUGCGGAAUGCGUGGUGUAGCGGUGAAAUGCAUAGAUAUCACGCAGAACUCCGAUUGCGAAGGCAGCAUACCGGCGCUCAACUGACGCUCAUGCACGAAAGUGUGGGUAUCGAACAGGAUUAGAUACCCGCGUAAG